GUUUAGCCCCGAUUGCAGUGAAAAUCCUUUUCUUGCUUUCUUUAAGCAAGGAAAGAUUGUAACGGAAAGCGGGAAAAAGC
rfam:Flavobacterium suncheonense GH29-5 = DSM 17707 strain GH29-5 contig4, whole genome shotgun sequence.